GGGGGUAGGCCAAUUUAAGUUAAUUUUGGACCAAUUUCAAGAGAUUGUGACGGGCAACGACUAUAUAGGUGUUGUAGAGGAGACAUUUGCGCAUCGUUUUAGAAAAUCUCCAGAGUGGUUUAUGUUCGAAAAUCUGAAGUUACGGUUAAAAAACUGAAAAUUUUAUUGUGAAAUUGACAAAAUGAGAUUAGGGGGGUAGGGCACUAAAAGAAAACUUUGGACCAAUUUCAAGAGAUUGUGACGGGCAACGACUAUAUAGGUGUUGUAGAGGAGACAUUGGUGCAUCGUUUAAGAAAAUCUCCAGAGUGGUUUAUGUUCGAAAAUCUGAAGUUACGGUUAAAAAACUGAAAUUUUGAAAUUGACAAAAUGAGAUUGGGGGAUAGGCCAGUUUAAGUUAAUUUUGGACCAAUUUCAAGAGAUUGUGACGGGCAACGACUAUAUAGGUGUUGUGGAGGAGACAUUGGCGCAUCGUUUAAGAAAAUCUCCAGAGUGGUUUAUGUUCGAAAAUCUGAAGUUACGGUUAAAAUACUGAAUAAUUUAUUGUGAAAUUGACAAAAUGAGAUUAGGGGGGUAGGGCACUAAAAGAAAACUUUGGACCAAUUUCAAGAGAUUGUGACGGGCAACGACUAUAUAGGUGUUGUAGAGGAGACAAUGGCGCAUCGUUUAAGAAAAUCUCCAGAGUGGUUUAUGUUCGAAAAUCUGAAGUUACGGUUAAAAAACUGAAAAUAUAUUGUGAAAUUGACAAAAUGAGAUUAGGGGGGGUAGGGCACUAAAAAAAAAUGUUAUACUAAUUU